rnacentral:rRNA from 1 species
UACGGGGGGAGCAAGCGUUGUUCGGAUUUACUGGGCGUAAAGGGCGCGUAGGCGGUCAGCACUAGUCAGUUGUGAAAUCUCCGGGCUUAACUCGGAAAGGUCAACUGAUACUGUGCGACUAGAGUGCGGAAGGGGCAACUGGAAUUCUCGGUGUAGCGGUGAAAUGCGUAGAUAUCUGGAGGAGCACCGGUGGCGAAGGCGGCAUCCUGGACCAACACUGACACUGAGGAGCGAAAGCCAGGGGAGCAAACGGG